rnacentral:rRNA from 1 species
AGAGUUUGAUCCUGGCUCAGAUUGAACGCUGGCGGCAUGCCUAACACAUGCAAGUCGCACGCGAAAGGGGGCAACCCCGAGUAGAGUGGCGGACGGGUGCGUAAUACGCAGGAAUCUACCCACGAGUGGGGGACAACCCGGGGAAACCCGGGCUAAUACCGCAUGAGACCUACGGGUGAAAGCGGGGGAUCGCAAGACCUCGCGCUGGUGGAUGAGCCUGCGUCCGAUUAGCUAGUUGGUAGGGUAAAAGCCUACCAAGGCAACGAUCGGUAGCUGGUCUGAGAGGACGACCAGCCACACUGGGACUGAGACACGGCCCAGACUCCUACGGGAGGCAGCAGUGGGGAAUAUUGGACAAUGGGGGCAACCCUGAUCCAGCAAUGCCGCGUGUGUGAAGAAGGCCUUCGGGUUGUAAAGCACUUUCGAUGGGGACAAACGUGUCGGGCUUAAUACGUCCGGCCUUGAUGGUACCCAGAGAAGAAGCACCGGCUAACUCUGUGCCAGCAGCCGCGGUAAUACAGAGGGUGCAAGCGUUAAUCGGAAUUACUGGGCGUAAAGCGUGCGUAGGUGGUUGGAUAAGUCAGGUGUGAAAUCCCCGAGCUCAACUUGGGAAUUGCGCUUGAUACUGUCCGGCUAGAGUGUGGUAGAGGGUAGUGGAAUUCCGCAUGUAGCGGUGAAAUGCGUAGAUAUGCGGAGGAACAUCAGUGGCGAAGGCGGCUACCUGGACCAACACUGACACUGAGGCACGAAAGCGUGGGUAGCAAACGGGAUUAGAUACCCUGGUAGUCC